AUUGAACGCUGGCGGCAUGCCUUACACAUGCAAGUCGAACGGUAGCGGGCCUUCGGGUGCCGACGAGUGGCGAACGGGUGAGUAAUGUAUCGGAACGUACCUUUCAGUGGGGGAUAACGUAGCGAAAGUUACGCUAAUACCGCAUAUUCGGUGAGCAGGAAAGCAGGGGAGCGCAAGACCUUGCGCUGAUUGAGCGGCCGAUGUCAGAUUAGCUAGUUGGCGAGGUCAAGGCUCACCAGGGCGACGAUCUGUAGCGGGUCUGAGAGGAUGAUCCGCCACACUGGAACUGAGACACGGUACAGACUCCUACGGGAGGCAGCAGUGGGGAAUUUUGGACAAUGGGGGCAACCCUGAUCCAGCCAUGCCGCGUGAGUGAAGAAGGCCUUCGGGUUGUAAAGCUCUUUCGGCCGGGAAGAAAUCGCACGGGCUAAUACCCUGUGUGGAUGACGGUACCGGAAUAAGAAGCACCGGCUAACUACGUGCCAGCCGCCGCAGUAACAC
rnacentral:rRNA from 1 species